rnacentral:lncRNA from 1 species
AGAAAACGGGCUCACUGCAGCUAACAGCCUCACCCCUUGGGCUAGGAAGCCACGGAAGCAAAACCUCCGCCCCGGCCUGAAAGCAACCGGGAGACCGCGGAACCACUGCCACCGACUCAGCCCUGCCCAGCAGGGGCCCGCCCAGGGGCCACUCCCCAAGGGAGGCAGCCAGUCACUCGCCCGCCCUUCCGGGCCCACUCCCGAGGGGACGGUCUCCCGCCCGCCCUCACACACAGCUAGCUCUUCAGGCCAGGCCCCCAGGGUUUCGUCCACCUCUCACCUUUGACGACGCGAAUGAAGAAUGAGGAGGUGCUGCGAUCGAACGACUGCGAGGAAACACACCCGCUCUCAUGGCAUUCCCAGUAAACUGAGAAGACGUGAUUAAACCUCAGGAUCUCCUACUAAUAGAGAAAUGUAUAACGAUUUAGCUACCAGAUCUGAAUACUGAAGGGUUGGUAGGGGACCAGAGAAUAGAGGAAGCAUUGUAGGUUCUAGAGUGGAGAAGGGACCAUCCAAAAUGGAGUUUGAAAGAGAAUUCUGGCCUUUGUGUUUAGAGUCUGGAAUUGUCAAGAGUCUGAAAGCACAGAAUAAGACUGCAGCUAGAGCAAUUUAGGCGCCAUAGUUUGUCAAAACAGGUAAGGGGAAUAAAGGGGAUGACACCAAGAGAUGUGCAAAGAAUCUGAAGAAUUCACCUGAAAAGGAUACAACCUCCUCCUGGAAGGCAGAGGAGUAAAUAGGGAAUUGGAAAUUAAUUCCUUAUUUCUGCACAUGCACAGAAUCUGGGCCCAGGUGACUUAUGGAACCUUUAUAGAGACCACGGUGACUGACACUCAUGGGAAAGGGGGUAGAGGGGCAAGAACUGACUGUUCAUCAAAAAUUAUUAGAUGAGUGUGUCCACGACACCAGGAGAUAUGUUGAAUCAUGGACAGGGACCAGCAUAUCCACUAAGCUCUAUAUAUCUUGAUGGUGCAGGAUCCAAGUGGGAUGGAACAACCAAUUCCUGCCCAUCCUCCUGCUCAAUAAUACAUGUGCUCAGAAUCUGUUCAUAAUGCAUGGUGAUGGAGUCUCACUCUAUUGCCAAGCUGGAGUGCAGUGGUGCGAUCUCGGCUCACUGCAACCUCUGCCUCCCGGGUUCAAGCAAUUCUCCUGCCUCAGCCUUCCGAGUAGUUGGGACUACAGGCACGCACCGUCACGCCUGGCUAAUUUUUUGUAUUUUGGUAGAGACGGGGUUUCACCAUGUUGGCCAGGAUGGUCUCAAUCUCCUGACCUCGUGAUCCACCCGCCUCAGCCUCCCAAAGUGCUGGGAUUACAGGUGUGAGCCACCGCGCCCGGCCCACAGUACAGUUUUACAAAGAAAGGUGUAGCUCCAGGAAAGGAAAGGAAUAACCUUUACCAUUGACUGUGCUGCAGGACUCUAGCCCUGAUCUGCUCUCUUCUGGGAGCAUCUGAUAGAACAAACAGAAACCCCUCUCCCACUGUUCUCCUGUGUCCAGAGUGGGAGGCAUAACUGCUUUGCCUCCAGUCAUCAUCUGGGGGCAUAUCUACUCUUCGAGGACCAGGGGUUCGGGACCCUGGAACAGGAUCUGAAUUCCAAGCUGACCUCAGGGGUACAUGAAGACUGCUAGAUGAGACGGGAUCUCACUGUGUUGCCCAGGCUGGUCUCGAACUGCUGGACUCAAGUCAUCCUCCCAUCUUGGCCUCCCAAAGUGCUGGAAUUACAGUGGACAACCUUCAAUGCACUGGUACUUUGUACCCUGACCUCUACUGUGAUGAACACUCAACUUGGGCAAGGAAGUGAAAUUCUCCAAAGGAAUUAUUAAGAUAAGGACCAGCAGUACAAUGAGCUUUUCACUGUAUGUCUGACCUGAAAGAAGAAAAUCUUUUCAGAGGACUCCUCUCUCCCCUUCAGUCGCCAAGACAAUGAGAGCUCUUGCUACAGAAUACUCAUGGUCAUUUCUUCCCCUGGCAUUCAUAAACUAACAUGGUUCCCAAGCACUACCUUGUUGGCUGAGAGAGAGUCCCCGCCUGUGUUGGGAGGCAGGCUGAGGGCUGCGACGGCUGCUGUGGUGAUUGCUGCUGCUGCAUGCGAUCCUGCAGGCUCCGUGCUUUUCGAAUACUGAUUUGCAACUUCUUAUCGACUAGGGCUCUGCUGUGCGUGCUACAGCUGGCACCAUGCAGGGCAAGUCUUAGUUUAGCUAAAAUGCAAAAGAAAAUAUAGCAGAAACAGAACACAAAACACAAAUAAAAAUAAAAAGAAUAAAAUUGAAAAAAAA